AUGGCAUGAAAGAAGGUGAGA
rnacentral:miRNA from 1 species